rnacentral:rRNA from 1 species
GUCUAUGACCAAACCACUCAAAUGCACCCAAUCUGAUCUUGGAAGCUAAGAGGAUCAAGCCUUGUUAAGAUUAGUUCUUAGGUAGGAAAUUGCCUGAGAAUAUAUUUUACUGCUUAGAUG